UUGAACGCUGGCGGCAGGCUUAACACAUGCAAGUCGAGCGGUAGCACAGGGGAGCUUGCUCCCUGGGUGACGGGCGGCGGGCGGGUGAGUAAUGUAUGGGCAACCGCCUGAUGGAGGGGGAUAACUACUGGAAACGGUAGCUAAUACCGCAUAACGUCGCACGACCAAAGAGGGGGACGUACGGGUCUCUUGCCAUCAGAUGUGUCCAGAUGGGAUUAGCUAGUAGGUGGGGUAAUGGUUACCCUAGGCGUCGAUCCCUAGCUGGUCUGAGAGGAUGAUCGGCCACACUGGAACGUGGACGCGGUCCAUACUCCUGCGGGACGCAGCAGUGGGGAAUAUUGCACAAAGGGCGCAAGCCUUGUGCAACCAUGCCGCGUGUGUGAAGAAGGCCUUCGGGUUGUAAAGCACGUUCAGCGAUGAGGAAGGUGGUGAGCUUAAUACGUUCAGCAAUUGACGUUACUCGCAGAAGAAGCACCGGCUAACUCCGUG
rnacentral:rRNA from 1 species